GUCUCCGUAACAAGGUGGGGGGGGCAGGGGCCCCCCUUAAUUGUCGCAGGGUGGCCGGGAGGGGAGCGGGUGCUGCCCCCUCCGUCCAGGCAGCGGGAGGUUGAGGGUCCGUUCCGGGGGUGAGCCCUGUGUGCGGGGCUGAUAACGUGUGAGAGCACGGGGAGCUCAGAACAGGAGCAACUGCGGGAGUUUCUGUGUCCUGUGGGAAGGUUCUGGAGCUGCCACAGCCCUGCUGGGGACAGAGGGAGCUGUAGAAGCUGGGAAGAAAACCCCCCGAGAGCUGUGCAUGGACAGCAGUGCAGAGACACCAGCCCCAGGGCUUUGCUCUUCUGUGCCAGCGCAGGGCGAGCGGGCACCCAGCAUCAGUUCGCUUUGUCGGCUGUAUCGGAAUGUCUUUAGCUAAAUAUAAUUAGAAAUUUCCAUCCCCAGGCUCCAAAAUCAAUUUAAACUUUUAUCUUGUAGGGGCCAGCAACCAUCUUUUCUGCCUCUUAUUCACCAUGUAGCUCAGUGUGACCCAGCUGAGCUCCGUGUCCUUGUAGGAGGUGGCAAGGGAGUGAUUUUGCACUGUCCCCUCUGGCUUGGAAACAUGAGGCAGCACCUUGUUCAUGCCAAGGGCAUCAGGUCCUGGUCCCAGCUGUGGAUCCAGAAGCCUCUGGGGGGUUUUGGAUGCUUUCCCUCCAUGUGUCACUUGUCACUACUGAAAAACAGCUCAGCGCGUGGCUUUUAUUCUCGGUUUUGCAAAGAGUAUUGUCGUUGGUUUAUUUUAUUUUUCCAGAAACGUUCAGGGAUAAAGUGCCAUUCACACAAGAUUUAGUCCCUCCUCAUAAAGUUAUAUAUUACAAGUGAAAGGGGAACAAGCAUGGGCUGGCAGCAGAAAAUUGAAUUAGCUCAGCAGCGCACAACACAAAAUAAGAUAAAUAUUGUACAGGAAUAUAAUUGAAGCUGUAUUAUUUAUCUUCCUUUUUUGGGGGUUAUUUGUCAAAAUGAGCUGCAAGUUGCAAAUUAAAAUAGCUAUUGGUUC